rnacentral:rRNA from 1 species
UACGUAGGGGGCAAGCGUUGUCCGGAUUCAUUGGGCGGAAAGAGCGUGUAGGCGGCCAGGUAGGUCGGUUGUGAAAACUGGAGGCUCAACCUCGAGACGUCGGUUGAAACCAUUUGGCUAGAGUCCGGAAGAGGAGAGUGGAAUUCCCGGUGUAGCGGUGAAAUGCGCAGAUAUCGGGAAGAACACCCGUGGCGAAGGCGGCUCUCUGGGACGGUACUGACGCUGAGACGCGAAAGCGUGGGGAGCGAACAGG